AUAACGGUCCUAAGGUAGCGAAAUUCCUUGUCGGGUAAGUUCCGACCUGCACGAAAGGCGCAACGAAUUGGGCGCUGUCUCGACCAUGGACCCGGUGAAAUUCCACUAGUCGUGAAGAUGCGACUUACCCGCGGAAGGACGGAAAGACCCCGUGAACCUUCACUGCAGCUUGGCAUUGGCCGCUGGCCCGUCGCGUAGAGGAUAGGCGGGAGGCUUCGAAGCCCGGGCGCCAGCCCGGGUGGAGCCGACCUUGGAAUACCGCCCUCGGCGCGCCGGCGUCCUAACCCCAUGCCGUCAUCCGGAUGGGGGACCGUGCCAGGUGGGUAGUUUGACUGGGGCGGUCGCCUCCUAAAGGGUAACGGAGGCGCGCGAAGGUCCGCUCGGGACGGUCGGCAACCGUCCUCUUGAGUGCAAGAGCAUAAGCGGGCUUGACUGCGAGGCCUACAAGCCGAGCAGGUGCGAAAGCAGGCUCUAGUGAUCCGGCGGCCCCGCGUGGGUGGGCCGUCGCUCAACGGAUAAAAGGUACUCCGGGGAUAACAGGCUGAUCUUGCCCAAGAGUCCACAUCGACGGCAAGGUUUGGCACCUCGAUGUCGGCUCAUCGCAUCCUGGGGCUGAAGUAGGUCCCAAGGGUUGGGCUGUUCGCCCAUUAAAGCGGUACGCGAGCUGGGUUCAGAACGUCGUGAGACAGUUCGGUCCCUAUCCUCCGCGGGCGCAGGAGAAUCGAGGGAGGCUGCCCCUAGUACGAGAGGACCGGGGUGGACGCACCUCUGGUGAACCGGUUGUCGACCAACGGCACGGCCGGGUAGCCACGUGCGGCGCGGAUAACCGCUGAAGGCAUCUAAGCGGGAAGCCGUUCCCGAGAUCAGUUCUCCUUUCGGUAAGGGCCCAGGUAGACUACCUGGUCGAUAGGCCGCAGGUGCAAGCACGGCGACGUGCUCAGCCGAGCGGUACUAAUAGCCCGAGCUCUUACCCG
rnacentral:rRNA from 1 species